UACGUAGGGCGCAAGCGUUAUCCGGAAUUAUUGGGCGUAAAGAGCUCGUAGGCGGUGUGUCGCGUCGGCCGUGAAAACCUGCAGCUUAACUGUGGGCUUGCGGUCGAUACGGGCAUCACUGGAGUUCGGCAGGGGAGACUGGAAUUCCUGGUGUAGCGGUGAAAUGCGCAGAUAUCAGGAGGAACACCGGUGGCGAAGGCGGGUCUCUGGGCCGAUACUGACGCUGAGGAGCGAAAGCGUGGGGGAGCGAACAGG
rnacentral:rRNA from 1 species